GCUCGUGGAUCGAUGAAGACCGCAGCUAAAUGCGCGUCAGAAUGUGAACUGCAGGACGCAUGAACACCGACAAGUUGAACGCAUAUUUCACACCGUACAACAGUACGAUGUACACAUUUUUCAGUGCCUAUAUUUAUCCAUUCAACUGUACGUGCGUGCGCGUCCCGCCACAGUGCUGGCGCUUGGACAGACACACCACGUACGCGCAGUGACGUUUUCUUGGCCUUCAGUAAAUGGAGAUGGGUUCCGUUGAAGAUAAUCAGGCGCGCCCCACCCGGGCGCGGUUGAUGAAUACGUCAUCUAGACCAACGCGCUUGGUUAUGUUGUAUUUCAUCGGCAGGCUAGCUGGCCACCGCCACCCAGUAGGCCUCAAAUAAUGUGUGACUACCCCCUAAAUUUAAGCA
rnacentral:rRNA from 1 species